UACGGGGGGGGCAAGCGUUGUUCGGAAUUACUGGGCGUAAAGGGCUCGUAGGCGGCCAACUAAGUCGGACGUGAAAUCCCUCGGCUUAACCGGGGAACUGCGUCCGAUACUGGUUGGCUUGAGUUUGGGAGAGGGAUGCGGAAUUCCAGGUGUAGCGGUGAAAUGCGUAGAUAUCUGGAGGAACACCGGUGGCGAAGGCGGCUUCCUGGACCGACACUGACGCUGAGGCGCGAAAGCUAGGGGAGCAAACGGG
rnacentral:rRNA from 1 species